GACGAACGCUGGCGGCGUGCUUAACACAUGCAAGUCGAACGGAAAGGCCCUGCUUUUGUGGGGUGCUCGAGUGGCGAACGGGUGAGUAACACGUGAGUAACCUGCCCUUGACUUUGGGAUAACUUCAGGAAACUGGGGCUAAUACCGGAUAGGAGCUCCUGCUGCAUGGUGGGGGUUGGAAAGUUUCGGCGGUUGGGGAUGGACUCGCGGCUUAUCAGCUUGUUGGUGGGGUAGUGGCUUACCAAGGCUUUGACGGGUAGCCGGCCUGAGAGGGUGACCGGCCACAUGUGGACUGAGAUACGGCCCAGACCCCUACGGGAGGCAGCAGGGGGGAAUAUUGCACAAUGGGCGGAAGCCUGAUGCAGCAACGCCGCGUGCGGGAUGACGGCCUUCGGGUUGUAAACCGCUUUCGCCUGUGACGAAGCGUGAGUGACGGUAAUGGGUAAAGAAGCACCGGCUAACUACGU
rnacentral:rRNA from 1 species